GAGAGCUUGCUUUUUAAGCUUAGUGGCGAACGGGUGAGUAACGCGUGAGUAACCUGCCCUAGAGUGGGGGACAACAGUUGGAAAUGACUGCUAAUACCGCAUAAGCCCACGGUGCCGCAUGGUACUGAGGGAAAAGGAUUUAUUCGCUUUAGGAUGGACUCGCGUCCAAUUAGCUAGUUGGUGAGGUAACGGCCCACCAAGGCGACGAUUGGUAGCCGGACUGAGAGGUUGAACGGCCACAUUGGGACUGAGACACGGCCCAGACUCCUACGGGAGGCAGCAGUGGGGGAUAUUGCACAAUGGGGGAAACCCUGAUGCAGCGACGCCGCGUGGAGGAAGAAGGUUUUCGGAUUGUAAACUCCUGUCGUUAGGGACGAUAAUGACGGUACCUAACAAGAAAGCACCGGCUAACUACGUGCCAGCAGCCGCGGUAAAACGUAGGGUGCAAGCGUUGUCCGGAAUUACUGGGUGUAAAGGGAGCGCAGGCGGGAAGACAAGUUGGAAGUGAAAACCAUGGGCUCAACCCAUGAAUUGCUUUCAAAACUGUUUUUCUUGAGUAGUGCAGAGGUAGAUGGAAUUCCCGGUGUAGCGGUGGAAUGCGUAGAUAUCGGGAGGAACACCAGUGGCGAAGGCGGUCUA
rnacentral:rRNA from 1 species